rnacentral:lncRNA from 1 species
GAGAUGCAUGGCUGUGAGGUGCUGCCUCCGCCUCUGAGGCUGGCGAUAGGCUGGAUUCAGACACAGCUCGAGCCGCUCACCCUCCACGUCCUGCUUAGGAGGAGUGCGGGGCCGGCUAAAUCCCCAAUGCCCAGGGCCCAGGGGCAUCCCAUCCAUAGCCUCAAGGUCCCUGGCUUCCCCUGGGGAUGGGGCUGUCGCACCUGUGUCCUCCCAGUUCCGAGGUACCAUUGAUACACACACAGGGGUCCCUGGGGGAGUUUCCUAACUCCUCUUCUGGAUGAAUGAAUGAAUAGAUUAAUGGAUGAAUUGAGUAGAUAGAUGAAUUGAUGGAUGGAUGAUGGAUGGAUAAAUGAAUGGAUGAUGGAUGAAUAGAUUAAUAGAUGAAUGAAUGAGUGGAUGGAUGGAUAGAUGGGUGAAUGCAUGGAUGGAUCAUGGAUGAUGGAUGGAUGACAGAUGCAUGGAAGGAUAGAUGAAUGAAAGAAUGGGUGAAUGGAUUAAUAGAUGAAUGAAUGAGUGGGUGGAUGGAUAGAUGGGUGAAUGCAUGGAUGGAACAUGGAUGAUGGAUGGAUGACAGAUGCAUGGAAGGAUAGAUGAAUGAAAGAAUGGGUGAAUGGAUUAAUAGAUGAAUGAAUGAGUGGGUGGAUGGAUAGAUGGGUGAAUGCAUGGAUGGAUCAUGGAUGAUGGAUGGAUGACAGAUGCAUGGAAGGAUAGAUGAAUGAAUGAAUGGGUGAAUGAAUUAAUGGAUGGAUGAAUGGAUGACAGGCUCUCCAUGAGCCGCUCUGCUCUCCUCCAUGGCCUCCUGCUCACUGGCCCCUAUAUCUCACAUCCUACUUCCAGUUUAAUGGAGACAAGAGUGUCCUCCCCAACCCAAGUUCUCACCCCCAUCCCUUCCUCCCUCAGACCCACCUGG